AUUGAACGCUGGCGGCAGGCCUAACACAUGCAAGUCGAGCGGAUGAAGGGAGCUUGCUCCUGGAUUCAGCGGCGGACGGGUGAGUAAUGCCUAGGAAUCUGCCUGGUAGUGUGGGAUAACGUCCGGAAACGGGCGCUAAUACCGCAUACGUCCUGAGGGAGAAAGUGGGGGAUCUUCGGACCUCACGCUAUCAGAUGAGCCUAGGUCGGAUUAGCUAGUUGGUGGGGUAAAGGCCUACCAAGGCGACGAUCCGUAGCUGGUCUGAGAGGAUGAUCAGUCACACUGGAACUGAGACACGGUCCAGACUCCUACGGGAGGCAGCAGUGGGGAAUAUUGGACAAUGGGCGAAAGCCUGAUCCAGCCAUGCCGCGUGUGUGAAGAAGGUCUUCGGAUUGUAAAGCACUUUAAGUUGGGAGGAAGGGCAGUAAGUUAAUACCUUGCUGUUUUGACGUUACCAACAGAAUAAGCACCGGCUAACUUCGUG
rnacentral:rRNA from 1 species